rnacentral:rRNA from 1 species
UUUUCAAGAAAUGAAUUUAAUUCAUACAUCUUAUUAAUUUCUUUUGUUUGUUUAUUUAUUGUUAUGAGAUGUUAAGAUUAAGGGGGAUUAGCUCCUUAUUUUUGUUUUAAAAUUUUUUGUUUAAUUGAGUUUUGUGGAUUUUAUAGUGAUUUUUAAAAUUGAUUAAGUUAAAAUUUUAUGUUAUUCUUUUGUUUAUUUUUUUGUGAUUUAAUUUUUUAUUCGAAUGUUUGCUUUAUCUUUAGUCGUAUAGUAAUUAUUGUGUAAUUAGUAAAUCUUGUUUAUUUGUAUUGUGUGACUGGGUGUUAAUUUCCUUUAAGGAAUUAGGCAAAAGUUAUUAUGUCCGCCUGUUUAACAAAAACAUCUUUUCUUGUUAGUAUUUGAAGUAUGGUCUGCCCACUGACUUUGAGUUGAAGGGCCGCGGUAUUUUGCCCGUGCAAAGAUAGCAUAAUCAUUAGUUCUUUAAUUGUGAUCUGGUAUGAAUGGCUUUACGAGACAUGAGCUGUCCUAGCUGUAUUGUUUUAGUUGAAUUUGGCUUUUGAGUUAAAAUUCUUAGAUGUUUUUAUGGGACGAGAAGACCUUAUAUAGUUUGACAUUUGUCUAGUUUAUAUAUUGUUUUUUGUUUUUCUUGUUUUAAGUUAAGUUGAAUGUUUUGUUGGGGUGAUGGGAGGAAUAUUUUUAACUCCUCUUUGUUUUUGUAUAUUUAUUUAAAUUUAUUCAUCC